rnacentral:rRNA from 1 species
ACGAAGGAUCCAAGCGUUGUCCGGAUUUACUGGGUUUAAAGGGUGCGUAGGCGGCCUUUUAAGUCAGUGGUGAAAGCCCUCAGCUCAACUGAGGAACUGCCAUUGAUACUGAAAGGCUUGAGUACAGACGAGGUAGGCGGAAUUGAAGAUGUAGCGGUGAAAUGCAUAGAUAUCUUCAAGAACACCGAUUGCGUAGGCAGCUUACUAGGCUGUAACUGACGCUGAGGCACGAAAGCGUGGGGAGCGAACAGGA